rnacentral:misc_RNA from 1 species
UUCACUCCGAGAGCCUGGUUUUAUUCUGAAGGGACAUUCUUCUUACGCACUGCAGAUUGCCAUCUCGUCAGAGAUUGCCGUUGUCCACUUGUCUUUGGUGAUGAUUUCUCUGGCAUUUUGCCAACAAUUUACGCGAAGUGCAUUUAUGUGUUGAGUUGUUAUGUGUCGUGGAUGUGACUACCAGGAAAUUAGGAUAAAGUCAAUUAACCUCAAAUUGUAGUGUUCUCAAUAAGAAGGCUGUAACAGAUCCUCGAGAUGGACGACGUGUAGCGCUUAAGAAACUUCCGAAUGUGUUCCAGUCACUGGUAUCGUCGAAGCGAGUUUUUCGCGAGUUGAAGAUGUUAUGCUUCUUCAAGCAUGAAAAUGUACUCUCAGCAUUGGAUAUCCUGCAGCCACCACAUUUGGACUUCUUCCAGGAAAUAUAUGUGAUAACCGAACUUUUACAAUCCGAUCUACACAAAAUCAUUGUUUCACCGCAACAUCUAUCCGCCGACCACAUCAAAGUAUUUCUCUAUCAAAUCCUGCGUGGCCUAAAAUACCUCCAUUCGGCCCGCAUCCUGCACAGAGACAUCAAACCCGGCAAUUUAUUGGUAAAUAGUAAUUGUGUUUUGAAAAUCUGCGAUUUUGGAUUGGCCCGCGUCGAAGAACCAGAUCAAUCGAAGCACAUGACACAAGAAGUUGUGACACAAUAUUAUCGUGCUCCGGAAAUUCUAAUGGGAGCCCGACAUUAUUCAGCUGCCGUGGAUGUUUGGUCGGUAGGAUGUAUAUUUGGAGAGCUGUUGGGACGACGGAUACUUUUCCAAGCACAAAAUCCUGUGCAACAAUUAGAAUUAAUCACCGAGUUGUUGGGCACACCAUCGUUGGAGGAUAUGCGACAUGCUUGCGAGGGUGCACGAUCGCAUAUGUUGCGAAGAGCACCAAAAGCACCUUCGUUUUCAGCCCUCUAUACGCUUAGCUCACAUGCAACACAUGAAGCAGUGCAUUUAUUAUGUCAGAUGCUUGUUUUUGAUCCGGAUAAGCGAAUAUCAGUCAUAGAUGCACUGGCGCAUCCAUACCUCGACGAAGGACGACUUAGGUACCACUCCUGCAUGUGUAAAUGUUGCUUCACAACGUCAUCGGGCAUGAGACAAUAUACAGGCGACUUUGAACCGGCCGCAGCUCAACCAUUCGAUGAUCUCUGGGAAAGAAAGUUGACGUCAGUGCAACAAGUUAAAGAGGAAAUGCAUAAAUUUAUCGCGGAACAAUUACAAACAGGUCGCGUGCCACUUUGUAUAAAUCCGCAAAGUGCUGCGUUCAAAAGCUUCGCCAGAAAACCGAGUAAAAAAUCAUGUUUUGGUUCGCCGACAUGUCGUGCCAUGAAGAAGACAGCUAUUUGGCUAUUGAUAACGCCCAUUAUAUUCUUGUAUGCCGCGUGAUAUAAGCAAAAACUUAUUCAAUUCAAAAUAACAAAUCUUUAAUGUCUUCAAUAAGGCACAAAACAGAAUUUUGAAAUUAUCUUAAAAAAGUUCAACGGUAGCGCACCCAUCCGAAUUGCCGCCCUCGCCACAUCAAUGGGAAUGACGGCAAAAUGAGGCGAUAGCUGCCUAAAAACGAAAUCCAAUUUUAUAUUUAGUUCGUAUGACAACAGUAGCAACAACUCAUGUUUACUUAAAUAACUACAGCUACAAAAACAAACCGUGACAACAUUUAUCCUGGCUAACAUAGCAAAUGUCUGCAUUUGUUUAUGUUUCCUUCGUAUUUUUGCAUAAGAUAUGUUUGGAAAUGCUGCGUAUAUAUUACAUAUUGAGCGGAAUUUCCUAGGAAAUUCUGGAAAAAUCAACGGAGAAUCUUUGGAGACAGAGGAAGGAUGUAAAGUGAACAAUCUGAGGAGAUAAACGAGCAACACAAGAAACGUCCUAGUCGAAAUAACUUUUUUUUUAUUGUGGUGUUGUGGAACUUUUGAAGAGAACUCAAGUUUCUGGGAAUUAUAUUUCGGAACUGAAAUAUUUCUCAAGGACACUGUCGAAAACUGAAAUCGGGAAAUAAUAUUAAUGUCGAAGUUAACCGAUGUGAGAAAACUGUAAUACGAUUGCGGAUCGGAGGGAGAAGAUUGCAAAUUGUUUGUUUUGCGAUCGAUUAACGCGAUUACUGGAUGAUAAAUGACAAAAUGUGGAAAAAUUACAGUGUCCUUGCCUACGUGCAAGGAGUGGAGAUGCAUAACCCGCGGGACCGAACUACGACAAAGAAACUUUUGAUAAUUUUCAAGCCUAAAUGAAAAUUACGAUUCCUACAGAUUUGUAGUGCAAGUGAGCAUUUCACUUUGAAAUUCGAAACACUAUUGAAAAAACAUAAAUAGAAAGUAGAAAGUUACAAAACUCAUAUAAUAACUGUAUGUAUAAACAUUUCCAAUUAUAUAGCAAUUCUUUUUGCCAAAUUUACCUCAACUUUUAAAAAACACUUAGAAAAAAACGGAGCAAAAAACAAGCAAACAUGUAUUUACGGAAAAGCAAGAAGAAACGAAUAACAAUAGUUGCUUCAUUUGUUUUUUCGUCCUUAGAACAUUUUUAUUUUUUCUCACAGUAAAUUUUUAAAAAGAUUAUGAAACCUCAGUGGACAAUGAGAAAUGGAAAAAAGUAAAAAAUUGUGUAGAAAUAAUUUUAAUAAUUCGAGUAAAAAUGAAAGUUAUAAAAAUAAAACGUAGCGAAUAAGUCAAGCAGUAAAUAUUAUAUAUAAAUAUCGAUGGAAGAUUCAAUAAAGUAGAAGUUAAAAGUAAAGAAGAUUAAUAAAGUGGAUGAAGAAGAAGAAAGAAGUAAAUGAAAAAAAGGAAUAAAAAAACAACAACAAUUAUAACAUAAAAAUGUUCGUAUUACUUAGAAUUUAGUAUGUACUCAACGCUUCUGGACUGAUUUUAGUUAGUAAUAUGUAAUUUUUUUUUGUGUCGCUUUUAAAAGAAAAUUCUUUUCUUAAUUUCUUUAAUGAUUCCGACUUCUAUGUAAUUUUAUUUUUACAUUAGAUUGAAUAGAAAAAACAAACAAGAUGAAAGAACCUUCUUGUAAAAAGGUAACACGAAAAUAAGGAUAUGAUUUUCAUUGAUAAUUUUAAUUUUCAUAAAGUUGCCAUUUCAGUGUCUAUGAACACAUUUUUACUUUGUCUUCACAUUCAAUUAAAUUUGUAAUGCUUUAUAUAAUAGUUUUGAACAAAAUAAAAUGCAAAACGUAGUGUUUUUAAAAAGGUAUUCAUGUUUGGGGUGAUUCGAUAUGCGGUUCCUAAGUCAAAGAAGAAUGGAUUAUAGCUUCCAUUUAGAUCUGGAUUAGUGCCUCUUGUUUUCCUGAUCUUUUCGAAAGCGUUUUUCAGUGAUAGCCGGGUGCUAGGUGCUUGAGGUACGAAAUGAUUCGUGGUUUUCCAAGGUGAGGAACUCUCUCUUCUAUUUUAAGGAUUUAUGUAAAAUUGUCGCUUUUUUCGCACUUUAAUCAAAAACGGUUACUUCUGUUGACACGAAAGAGAGAAGUAGAGAGGUUGAAACUAUGGAUCCGCAUGCAUGCAGUAGAUUACGUUGUUUCGUGUCGAACUUAAGGGGGGUACUAAUAUCCAAAAUUAUUUUUCACCAAAUAUAACUUUGGGGGGUCUCUUGGGUGCAAAGAGAUGCGUGGGUUAGAAUUAUAUAUUUCCGGGUCAAAGGGCCCAACUGAAAAUCUGAAAAAAAUGUUGGUGUUCCGUGCGUAUCCCAUCUAUAGCUUCAACAUACCCUGGACUACAAUAUUCGCUCUUAAAUAGUUAUUAAUGUUUAGGAUAGUGAGCGAUCCUAAGUCCACAUCCACUUGUUAUUAAUGGUAUGUUUUUAUAUUUUGUAAAUUUACUGCGAAUCGCACCUUAAGUUCAUCCUAAAGCCAUUGCAGUCAAGUAACUUGAAGUAUGGGUCAUCAUACUGAAAAAUUUGGUGGAAAUCGUACUGUUACUAGCAAAGCUCUCGCCGUCAAACUGAUGCUCCUUAAGAAAUAAAAUGUCAGCAUCACAUUGAAGUUGCAUAAAAAUGGAACCAUCGUGCAUCCACAAAAUAUCUAUAAAACUUAAGUUUCCGGUUUCUGACUUGUUACGUAGUUCAAAUAGAAUUUUGCGAUAGACCCGUUUAACUAAUAGAUUCGUUUUACAAAACAUUGAUUGAGUUGAUAGUGGUUCACUUGCUUUAGUACCUGGUUUCACAAUGAGAGUAGAGCAUAAUUUAACAAGUUACUGAAUCUUACUUAAAAUGGGUGCAAAAAGAAAUGGAGAGAAAAAUAACUUCAUCAUACAAUGCCAGAAAAAAAAGCUGAAGUUCCAUUUGGUCCGGUCUAACAACAAGUGGUUGUGGACUUAGGAUCCCUCACUUAUCCUAAACAAUUUGAUUAAAGUCGUUAAAGAUGUUUUUUUUAGAAAGUCAAUGUAUUUUUAACCAUCCUUUUUUUUGUUACAUAUAAUUUCGUAGUAGUUUUAUGUUGAAUAAGUUAUGUGUUAAAAGUUGUCGCAAAGUAACUAUUCAUUCAUUUUUUCUGUUUUCGUCAUUUUUUUGGAUUGAAAAAAAAACCUUCCCAUCCGUUCAAAAUAAAAAUUCCUUAUCAACAGACUUAAAAAAAAACAAAAAAAAGUAAUAGGCAGCUCUGUCAACAUUUUCUUAAAGAUGUCCGAUGAAAUUCAAGUCCGACUAUCGAUGAGAGUUCACAUGGUUGUCACCCAGUAAACUCUUCGUAAUUCAAGCCGAGUGCUUCUGAUUAUUGCCAUCCAUAAAAAUCCAAACAUUGGCCAAUUUUUCGGGAACGUACAGUAUUUGGUUGCAGUCAGUAUACCCUGAAAUUUAAACAUUGGGCUAACGGUAUUUUGAGAAAAACAAGAUCGAACCAACGAUAAUCCGCUGCCAUGGCUUGAAUUAGAAGGUGGUUUGUUAGCCAAAUUUUAAAUAAAAUUAAACGAGUUUCGAAGACUAGUUCUUGUAUUAGCUAAAAAAAUUGGUAGAAAAUAAGUACCGUAUUUCGGGAACCAACUGCUCAUUUUUUCAACCAAUUCCAACCAAUAACGUAUUUCCGGAAGCAACUUCCCCUUUUUUCAGUGAAAACACUGAAAAAGAAUACAGUUUGUUCCCGAAAUACGGGAUUUCGAUUACGAUUAUUUUGUGCGACGUUUAUUAUCCGAUAUUAAUGACUCGACUGGAUGGGAAAGUAUUCAGUUUUAUACGACUAGACAUAAACCAACAUAAAGAAGACAAAAACAAUUUUCAUUGCUCAUCGAGAAAUAUUUUCCGUGAAAACAUUGAAGAAGGAGAUAGUUGGUUGCCGAAAUACGGUUUUUGUUUUUCCAGAUUUUUUUUGUCAAUAAAAGAAUAAGUCUUCAGAUCCUGUUUAAUUUUAUUUUACCUACAUGUUUGGACUUCUGAUUUGGUAUUUGACGCUGUAACGUUUUCCAAAAGGCAGUCGAGUAUAUCAGCAUAAAUUUAGAUCCGUUGAACUACAACACAUGACUCUUUUAGAAAUAAUAAAAAACUUGUUUUUUCUAAAAAAACUUGUUUUUUCUUAUUCGCUACUGUUGAUAUUUUAAUUUUUGCAAAUACCGAUAUUUCGGGAACCACUUGUUCCCUUCCCUUUGUUAGCAAUGAUGAACGGAACAAGUGAUUCCUGAAAUACCAAGUCGAGACUUGGCACUGAUGAAGGAAACAAGUGGUUCCCGAAAUAUCGGAAUUUGCAAAAUAUAAAUCAACACCAGCGACUAGGAAAAACAAGUUUUUAUUAUUUCAAAUAAUUAAUCGCUGGAAACACCGCAUAAUUACACUCAGAUAAACAUGACUCUAGCGGGCGACAGUUCUUCAACGUCCUCUUUGCGCGACGGGUUUUCCCCGAUAAUAAUAGCUUCCGAGUGGGUCGGGAAGUAUUCAGUUUGAACGCCUGAAUAAGACGACAUUAACAGCAAAUUUCAUUGCUCGUGACAAAGAAUUUCCAGCCAUAUAUGUAUGUCAUGAUUCCAUAAUCUGAACGACAUGAAAAACCAUUUUACACGGGUCUAUUUACACAAUACGGACACGCAGAUGAGCUUGCAUCUCAGUUGAUUUGCUCAGAUGUCUUCUGUUUGCCUCUGUUCCAACGGAGUUAAUGCAAUGGAAUCUGCAACAAAUAUUGUCCAUAACAGACUGCGAUAUGUGUAUCGCUUUAAUGAUAAAGUGCUUCAGUUCCUCAUACAAUCGUUUUCUAACAGUAUGACCAAUCAGUCAAAAACUAAAAACAAAAAAUACUUUGAGCGGAUGUUUCCUCUGAUAAAUUGAGAAAAUUCCAUUGAAUACGUUUUUUUUUCUGCCCAAAAAAUUAAUGAAAAUAGAAAAAAAUAAAAUGACAGCGUUACCUUUUUUUUAUUGAAAAGUUGAAAUAAUACACUUAGUCUUCGUAAAAAUGCUACAAAAUCAUAUGUACAUACAAAAAACAUCAUUAGCAACUUGGAGCGCGUUUUUUCCAGCAUUGUAUAUAUGCCUCAGCCUUUGUCUCCUUCAGAAGCGGCGUCAGCUCAAAACACCAUUAAGACUCAAUGUCUGACAAUUCACUUUUAUGUAGUAUUGACAUUCUAGAUUAUAAGGUGAAAUAAAUUCAAACGAAGAAGGCUGUUUUCGCCCAUUAUAACUUUGUUAAUAAUAGCAGGGUGUCCACGAAACUUUCCAGUAAUAAUACGUAUAAACGCCGCAUUAUUUUCAUUUGAAGUUUAUAAUUUUUGUCGCUUACUUCCCUAAUUUGCAUCUGAUACUAAAAAUAAAACUUGUUUGUUUACUAAUCGGGACAUUUCAUUUGAUAUCACGUGUGUCUACAUUUGGGGGAUAAAAAAUGUAUACGCUUCUAUUGCACGUACUCGUAUUUAGGGCCUCCCUAAAACUCCAUACCAAAUUGUGUCAUUCACUAUAAGCGUGGGACCUUGUAGUCUCCAGUUAAAUUCUGUUUUCAACAAAGUCACCGUAUUUGAGAAAAGUGCGGUAUACGCGCAGAUAGGUUUUGUUUUUUACAAAACGCUAAUGAAAAAAUAAAUCCGUUUCUAUCGCGUGGUUGCGCUGUAAUAAUUGGACCCAACCAAUUUUAAUUUAAAUGUAAUGAAUUCUAGUUCAUUUAAAACCACGCGCAUCAUGCACCAGAUAAAAUGCAUAAAUUUGACAUAUACGGGAUAUGCAAUAUUUUCGGAAUAUGCUAAAUUUCAGUUAUUAUAGGUCUUCAGCAAGACAAGCAUUGGUUCAAAUAGCAUUUCAUCCUUAAGCGUUCAAAUAAAUAAAUAAAUUUUCCAAUGAGAAUUUUGAGGACUAGACAUCCUUUCUAUUGUUAUCAAGCUUUGGAUGAUGUACCUAAUAUGCGUGGCAAGAAGGUAAGGGUGUCCAGUAUGCUUUCGUAAUAUACACCAUCAUCUUUUGGGAUGGACAUUUUUUUAGCUGAACUAAUCUCACAUCAUAAAGGAACGGUUUAAUUUUGAAAACAAAAGACCAAAAUUACCACUCAUAGACACUUUUCUGAGCAAUCCUUCUUGGAAGUGACAUUACAUUCAAGUAAUUUUUACAUUAUCUAAUUUCGUGUUGCCUAUCCGAUGGUGUGUUCAAUUUCCAGAUAUGAUACAUUAAUAUUACAUUUACGUAUACUUUAUCUACUACAUUCUAAGAGAAAAGGUCGAAAAUUAAUUCAAAACCGGGGAUAAAAGCAAAACAAAACAAAAUAUAUAUUUUUUUCUUUGUAAAAUUAAGUAACAUAAAAAGGACUGAACAUAAACUUUUAAUAGUUAAGCGAAAAGCACGAGGUUAGUAGAAACAAGUAGGAUAAACUUCAAAAAUGAUUUUUUUUCAUCUUGAAUUUCCAAUUUUCUAAACAAAACUAAAUUCAAAUUCAAUUCGUAAAAAUAAAUAUACAUAAAUAUAUAACACAUGGAAAUACAUCCAUGUUUUUUUUCUGGUAAAAUUUUCAAUGCACAUAAACAAAAUAUUUUUCUUCGGUAAAUUUCCUUUCAAACACAUCAAAAUUAGAAGAAGAAAAAAAAA